UGGGGAAUCUUGGACAAUGGGGCAACCCUGAUCCAGCCAUGCCGCGUGAGUGAUGAAGGCCUUAGGGUCGUAAAGCUCUUUCGCCUGUGAAGAUAAUGACGGUAGCAGGUAAAGAAACCCCGGCUAACUCCGUGCCAGCAGCCGCGGUAAUACGGAGGGGGUUAGCGUUGUUCGGAAUUACUGGGCGUAAAGCGCACGUAGGCGGACCAGAAAGUUGGGGGUGAAAUCCCGGGGGCUCAACCCCGGAACUGCCUCCAAAACUAUCGGUCUAGAGUUCGAGAGAGGUGAGUGGAAUUCCGAGUGUAGAGGUGAAAUUCGUAGAUAUUUGGAGGAACACCAGUGGCGAAGGCGGCUCACUGGCUCGAUACUGACGCUGAGGUGCGAAAGUGUGGGGAGCAAACAGGAUUAGAUACCCUGGUAGUCCACACCGUAAACGAUGAAUGCCAGUCGUCGGGUAGCAUGCUAUUCGGUGACACACCUAACGGAUUAAGCAUUCCGCCUGGGGAGUACGGUCGC
rnacentral:rRNA from 1 species